rnacentral:rRNA from 1 species
CAAUAGCGUAUAUUUAAGUUGUUGCAGUUAAAAAGCUCGUAGUUGGAUUUCGGGCGGGUGACGGCGGUCCGCCUCUGGUGUGCACUGCCGGCAUCCGCCUUUCUGUCGGGGACGGGCUCCUGGGCUUCAUUGCUUGGGACUCGGGCUCGACGUGGUUACUUUGAGUAAAUUAGAGUGUUCAAAGCAGGCGAUCGCCCUGAAUACAUUAGCAUGGAAUAGCACGAUAGGACUCUGGCCUAUUUUGCUGGUCUGUAGGACCGGAGUAAUGAUUAAGAGGGACAGUCGGGGGCAUUCGUAUUUCAUUGUCAGAGGUGAAAUUCUUGGAUUUAUGAAAGACGAACUUCUGCGAAAGCAUUUGCCAAGGAUGUUUUCAUUGA